UAGGGAAUCUUCGGCAAUGGACGAAAGUCUGACCGAGCAACGCCGCGUGAGUGAAGAAGGUUUUCGGAUCGUAAAACUCUGUUGUUAGAGAAGAACAAGGACGUUAGUAACUGAACGUCCCCUGACGGUAUCUAACCAGAAAGCCACGGCUAACUACGUGCCAGCAGCCGCGGUAAUACGUAGGUGGCAAGCGUUGUCCGGAUUUAUUGGACGUAAAGCGAGCGCAGGCGGUUUCUUAAGUCUGAUGUGAAAGCCCCCGGCUCAACCGGGGAGGGUCAUUGGAAACUGAGAGACUUGAGUGCAGAAGAGGAGGGUGGAAUUCCAUGUGUAGCGGUGAAAUGCGUAGAUAUAUGGAGGAACACCAGUGGCGAAGGCGGCUCUCUGGUCUGUAACUGACGCUGAGGCUCGAAAGCGUGGGGAGCAAACAGG
rnacentral:rRNA from 1 species